rnacentral:rRNA from 1 species
UACGUAGGAGGCAAGCGUUGUCCGGAAUUAUUGGGCGUAAAGAGCUCGUAGGCGGUGUGUCGCGUCGGCCGUGAAAACCUGCAGCUUAACUGUGGGCUUGCGGUCGAUACGGGCAUCACUGGAGUUCGGCAGGGGAGACUGGAAUUCCUGGUGUAGCGGUGAAAUGCGCAGAUAUCAGGAGGAACACCGGUGGCGAAGGCGGGUCUCUGGGCCGAUACUGACGCUGAGGAGCGAAAGCGUGGGGAGCGAACAGG